UGACUACAGCCAUGCCACCCUGAACAUGCCGGAUCUCAUCUGAUCUCAGAAGCUAAGCAGGGUCAGGCCUGGUUAGUACUUAGAUGGG
rnacentral:miRNA from 1 species